rnacentral:rRNA from 1 species
GUACACUCCUGCGGGAGGCAGCAGUGGGGAAUUUUGGACAAUGGGCGAAAGCCUGAUCCAGCCAUGCCGCGUGCAGGAUGAAGGCCUUCGGGUUGUAAACUGCUUUUGUACGGAACGAAACGGCCUUUUCUAAUAAAGAGGGCUAAUGACGGUACCGUAAGAAUAAGCACCGGCUAACUACGUGCCAGCAGCCGCGGUAAUACGUAGGGUGCAAGCGUUAAUCGGAAUUACUGGGCGUAAAGCGUGCGCAGGCGGUUAUGUAAGACAGUUGUGAAAUCCCCGGGCUCAACCUGGGAACUGCAUCUGUGACUGCAUAGCUAGAGUACGGUAGAGGGGGAUGGAAUUCCGCGUGUAGCAGUGAAAUGCGUAGAUAUGCGGAGGAACACCGAUGGCGAAGGCAAUCCCCUGGACCUGUACUGACGCUCAUGCACGAAAGCGUGGGGAGCAAACAGGAUUAGAUACCCCAGUAGUCCCAUGA